rnacentral:rRNA from 1 species
GACGAGGGGUCCAAGCGUUGUUCGGAAUCAUUGGGCGUAAAGCGGGUGUAGGCGGCUCUGCAAGUCAGAUGUGAAAGCCCAGGGCUUAACCCUGGAAGUGCAUUUGAUACUGUAAGGCUUGAGUAUGGAAGAGGGUCGUGGAAUUCCUGGUGUAGUGGUGAAAUACGUAGAUAUCAGGAGGAACACCGGUGGCGAAGGCGGUUCUCUGGGCAUUACCUGACGCUGAGGAGCGAAAGUGUGGGGAGCGAACAGG